GACAGAGGUGCCGAGCGUUAGGCGGAAUCACUGGGCUUAAAGCGCGUGUAGGCGGGACGGCACGUCGGUCGCUGAAAGCCCCCGGCUCAACCGGGGAACGGGCGCCGAUACGACCGGCCUGGAGGGACGUAGGGGGACCUGGAACUUCCGGUGGAGCGGUGAAAUGCGUUGAGAUCGGAAGGAACGCCCGUGGCGAAAGCGAGGUCCUGGACGUCUGCUGACGCUGAGACGCGAAAGCCAGGGGAGCGAACGGG
rnacentral:rRNA from 1 species